rnacentral:ncRNA from 1 species
CGAACGACGUUGAAGGGGAAGAGUACGCAGCCAAGCCUUCAGAGAGCGGAGCCGUUAGUGCUGAGAGUUCCGCAGGAUUUUACUCGUACAAGUCGCCCUGGAGUUGCUUGAAUCAAGCGGAUUGUUAUUCGUUAAUUCAAGCCGGCCACAGCCGUUAUCUGUUUGAGUGCCGUGCAGCUGCAAGACGCGCGGAACAAAGGUGGUACCACGGAAGCUAACCUUUCGUCCUUUGC